rnacentral:rRNA from 1 species
CAAACGACUCUCGGCAACGGAUAUCUCGGCUCACGCAUCGAUGAAGAACGUAGCAAAAUGCGAUACUUGGUGUGAAUUGCAGAAUCCCGUGAACCAUCGAGUUUUUGAACGCAAGUUGCGCCCNAAGCCAUCCGGCCGAGGGCACGUCUGCCUGGGCGUCACGC